AUGCUUACGUGGCAGGGGAGAUACUAUGAUUACUAUAGUGGCUCUCCCAGUGAGAGACUCAUUCAUUGCACUCUAGGUUUUCUGAUCCCUGUGAUUUCCCCAUACGUGGGAAACUUGACUGCAUAAUUUGUGGUAGUGGAGAACUGCAUCCAUGCUCUCCCCUG
ensembl:snRNA U1 U1 spliceosomal RNA